rnacentral:rRNA from 1 species
AGCAGCCGCGGUAAUUCCAGCUCCAAUAGCGUAUAUUAAAGUUGUUGCAGUUAAAAAGCUCGUAGUUGAAUUUCGGGAUCAGCAGGUUGGUCGUGCCACUGGUAUGCACUGGUCUAGCUGGUUUCUCCUUCUUGAAGAACCGUGAUGUCAUUAAGUUGGUGUUGCGGGGAACCAGGACUGUUACUUUGAAAAAUCAGAGUGUUUAAAGCAGGCUAACGCUUGAAUACAUUAGCAUGGAAUAAUGAAAUAGGACGUCGAUUCUAUUUUGUUGGUUUCUAGGGUUGACGUAAUGAUUAAUAGGGAUAGUUGGGGGCAUUAGUAUUCAAUUGUCAGAGGUGAAAUUCUUGGAUUUAUUGAAGACUAACUACUGCGAAAGCAUUUGCCAAAGAUGUUUUCAUUAAUCAAGAACGAAAGUUAGGGGAUCGAAGACGAUCAGAUACCGUCGUAGUCUUAACCAUAAACUAUGCCGACUAGGGAUCGGAUGAUGUUAAUUUUUAGUCGACUCAUUCGGCGCCUUAAC